rnacentral:tRNA from 1 species
UGGAAUGGUCUAGUUGGUUAUGACGACUGCCUAACACGCAGUAGGUCCCGAGUUCGAUUCUCGGUUCCAGUAU